AGAGUUUGAUCCUGGCUCAGGAUGAACGCUGGCGGCGUGCCUAACACAUGCAAGUCGAGCGAUCUUCUUCGGAAGAGAGCGGCGGACGGGUGAGUAACGCGUGGGUAACCUGCCUCAUACACAUGGAUAACAUACCGAAAGGUAUGCUAAUACAAGAUGAUAUAAGAGAUUCGCAUGGAUUUCUUAUCAAAGCUCCGGCGGUAUGAGAUGGACCCGCGUCUGAUUAGCUAGUUGGUAAGGUAACGGCUUACCAAGGCGACGAUCAGUAGCCGACCUGAGAGGGUGAUCGGCCACAUUGGAACUGAGACACGGUCCAAACUCCUACGGGAGGCAGCAGUGGGGAAUAUUGCACAAUGGGCGAAAGCCUGAUGCAGCAACGCCGCGUGAGCGAUGAAGGCCUUCGGGUCGUAAAGCUCUGUCCUCAAGGAAGAUAAUGACGGUACUUGAGGAGGAAGCCCCGGCUAACUACGUGCCAGCAGCCGCGGUAAUACGUAGGGGGCUAGCGUUAUCCGGAUUUACUGGGCGUAAAGGGUGCGUAGGUGGUUUCUUAAGUCAGGAGUGAAAGGCUACGGCUCAACCGUAGUAAGCUCUUGAAACUGGGAAACUCGAGUGCAGGAGAGGAAAGUGGAAUUCCUAGUGUAGCGGUGAAAUGCGUAGAUAUUAGGAGGAACACCAGUAGCGAAGGCGGCUUUCUGGACUGUAACUGACACUGAGGCACGAAAGCGUGGGGAGCAAACAGGAUUAGAUACCCUGGUAGUCCACGCCGUAAACGAUGAGUACUAGGUGUCGGG
rnacentral:rRNA from 1 species